rnacentral:rRNA from 1 species
GUUGACCUCGGAUCAGGUAGGACUACCCGCUGAACUUAAGCAUAUCAAUAAGCGGAGGAAAAGAAACCAACAGGGAUUGCCCCAGUAACGGCGAGUGAAGCGGCAACAGCUCAAAUUUGAAAUCUGGCCCCAGGCCCGAGUUGUAAUUUGCAGAGGAUGCUUUUGGCGCGGUGCCUUCCGAGUUCCCUGGAACGGGACGCCAUAGAGGGUGAGAGCCCCGUACGGUUGGACACCAAGCCUUUGUAAAGCUCCUUCGACGAGUCGAGUAGUUUGGGAAUGCUGCUCUAAAUGGGAGGUACAUUUCUUCUAAAGCUAAAUAUUGGCCAGAGACCGAUAGCGCACCAGUAGAGUGAUCGAAAGAUGAAAAGCACUUUGAAAAAGGGUUAAACAGCACGUGAAAUUGGUAAAAGGGAAGCGCUUGUGACCAGACUUGCGUCCGGUGAAUCACCCAGCUCUCGCGGCUGGGGCACUUCGCCGGCACAGGCCAGCAUCAGCUUGCCGUCGGGGACAAAAGCUUCAGGAACGUGGCUCCUCUCGGGGAGUGUUAUAGCCUGUUGCAUAAUACCCUUCGGCGGGCUGAGGUACGCGCUCCGCAAGGAUGCUGGCGUAAUGGUCAUCAGCGAC